rfam:Oryza sativa Japonica Group DNA, chromosome 12, cultivar: Nipponbare, complete sequence.
AUCCCAUGAUGAGGAUACGAGGCCACAUAUUCCUGAAAUCGUUCCCAUGCUUCAGGAAAGGACUCGUCCCUUGUCUGCUGGAAACUGGAAAUCCUUCCUUGGAGAGC